CGUGCGGCUGCUAAUACAUGCAAGUCGAGCGGACCGACGGGAGCUUGCUCCCUUAGGUCAGCGGCGGACGGGUGAGUAACACGUGGGUAACCUGCCUGUAAGACUGGGAUAACUCCGGGAAACCGGGGCUAAUACCGGAUGCUUGAUUGAACCGCAUGGUUCAAUCAUAAAAGGGGGCUUUUAGCUACCACUUGCAGAUGGACCCGCGGCGCAUUAGCUAGUUGGUGAGGUAACGGCUCACCAAGGCGACGAUGCGUAGCCGACCUGAGAGGGUGAUCGGCCACACUGGGACUGAAACACGGCCCAAACUCCUACGGGAGGCAGCAGUAGGGAAUCUUCCGCAAUGGACGAAAGUCUGACGGAACAACGCCCCGUGAGUGAUGAAGGUUUUCGGAUCGUAAAACUCUGUUGUUAGGGAAGAACAAGUACCGUUCGAAUAGGGCGGUACCUUGACGGUACCUAACCAGAAAGCCACGGCUAACUACGUGCCAGCAGCCGCGGUAAUACGUAGGUGGCAAGCGUUGUCCGGAAUUAUUGGGCGUAAAGCGCGCGCAGGCGGUUUCUUAAGUCUGAUGUGAAAGCCCCCGGCUCAACCGGGGAGGGUCAUUGGAAACUGGGGAACUUGAGUGCAGAAGAAGAAAGUGGAAUUCCACGUGUAGCGGUGAAAUGCGUAAAGAUGUGGAGGAACACCAGUGGCGAAGGCGACUCUCUGGUCUGUAACUGACGCUGAAGCGCGAAAGCGUGGGGAGCGAACAGGAUUAGAUAC
rnacentral:rRNA from 1 species